rnacentral:rRNA from 1 species
CCUACGGGAGGCAGCAGUGGGGGAUAUUGCGCAAUGGGGGAAACCCUGACGCAGCAACGCCGCGUGAAGGAAGAAGGUCUUCGGAUUGUAAACUUUUGUCUUUUGGGAAGAAUUAAGACGGUACCAAAGGAGGAAGCCACGGCUAACUACGUGCCAGCAGCCGCGGUAAU